UUCAGACAGUGAUGUAGAAAUUUUAGGAUUUUUCAAAUUGAAUUUUCAGUGGAC
rnacentral:tRNA from 13 species